rnacentral:lncRNA from 1 species
GUAUAUUUAUGAAAUAUGUGCAGUUGUUCUUAGUUUUUAGUGCACUGACCAAUAGGUAGAGACGUUUUUCCUUUACACCUGUAUUGUUUUCAUGCUAUUAGCUAUUGAGUCAAAAAGACAGAGGGAGGCCAGUAGGCUUUAAUUGUAUUAUUCUCAGUUUGGCUACUGCUCUAAAGGGAAUAGGUUUGCAAAAAACAUCAAAGGCAAAAGGGCUUGCUAUUUUCUUUUCUUUUUUGUGUAGUUUUUUUAAGUAUUGUUGUAAUUUAGUGCUAGUUUACAGUUUUUAGUGCACUUGCACCUGGUCAUUAAUUUUUAGAGCUCUUAUUCACAUGUAAUAUUUCAUAUGUGUCUCAUUUUAUUAGAAGUUUCAUUAUGUACACAAUAAUUUAUUCAUGUCACUUAGUUAUAUUUUCUAAUUAUAUUCUUGGUGGAUUUUUCUUAUUUAUAUUUUGGUGUUCUUCUAGGUGGUAUUCCUAUCAUCGAAUAGUGUGGCUGGCAUAGAUGGGGAAGAUAAAAUAAUUGUCGUGGAUUUGACGAGGUUCUUGAAGACGUAAUCAUGUGUGUUAGACUGUUAGUAUUCUGAUGCAUAUAUGUUUUAGAGUUACUUCUUUUCUCUGUCAUAUUCACUAAACCGAGUCAGCAUUUUAUUUUAUUUUUUGGGUUUCAUAGGUUUGAUCCUAUUAACAUGUAGGUCAAUCAAGGAGAAUGAAUUCAAAGAUUAGGAGUGCCAAAAGAUACAAAGAUCAAUUUUUUUUUUCCCAAUCUCUACGGGUGUGUUUCUCUCUACAGAUGUGUUUCUAAUAUUAAUCAUCAUUUAAUCUCAUUUCUUUUGUGAUCUCUCUUUUUUUUUGGUUUGAACUAGGAGUUCUUCUAGAUAGCACAAACGAUUUGAUGGAAGAUAGGCUGUGGUUAGUAGUACACUCUGCACUGGCACUAUAACUCUUCAGGUGCACGAUUAUUUUACUUUGCAUUGGUUGUGGCAAGGUAGUUUCUGAUAAAUGCGCGUUAAUUGCAAAUUUAAGGGUAGUUGUGGACUUGAGGAAGGGAGAGAAAAUAAGUAUGUGUCUCCUUUUAUCAUAAGUUUCUUUAUGUCCAUGUAUUUGUUUCAUCAUAGGUAUAUUUCUCACUAUACUCUUGGUGUGUCGUUUUUUUAUUUAUGUUGGGUUCUUCUAGGUGGUAUAACCUUCAUCCCAAAUAGUCUGGCAUAGAGGAGAAGAUAAUAUUAACUGUCUUUGAUUGUCUGAAGAGUAAUCAUAUGUGUGUUAGUAUUCCUAUGCAUAAUAUGUAAGGUUACUCUGAUGUUUUGUCCUAUUGUUGAAUUGAGUCAUUUUUUUGGUCGUAGGCUGAUCCGAUUAGCAUGAAGCUCAAUAGGGGAGAAUGAAUGCAACGAUGAGGAGUGCAAAAACAUACAAAAUACCUUAUUUUUUAAGUCUCUCUGCUAUUAUUUUUUUGACAUUAACCUUCAUUUAAUCUAAUUUCUUUUGUGUUGUCUUUUUGUUGAAGUUGUGAACUAUGGGUGCUUCUUGAUGGUACAAAGAUAGACGGUUGCUGAUAGUACACGCUGGGAGUAUAACUC